CAUCAUAUCAGAGUGAAAAGGAAGAGAUACUCAUUUCGGACACUGAUGACCCCAAUGAGGGCACUUCUCAAGGUUGGAGGAACACUGCUACAAGUGUUCCAGAUACCCCUUCCAACAUGACUGCUGUGAGGUCCACUGUCAACCCAUUGUACAG